CGCUCAGCGUCAGCUGCUCACUCAGGACCCCAGUCUGGUUCUGAAGAAGGACUUCAUCACUGGGUUUGUAAGUUCAGCAGUUUCACUCUGGUUUUAUGAGUGUGUAGAUCAGAUGUGUUGGUGUGUUAGUUAGUGUGUUAGUUAGUGUGUUACUUAGUUACUG